ensembl:snoRNA
ACUCAAUGAUGAAACCUAUUCCGAAGCUGAUUACCUGAAGAAAAUCAUGCACGGAUUCGGCUUCUGAGAU